UUGACAAUCUUAUCGUGAAGGCAUACUUUCAGGAGUGAGGGUAGAGCGGGGUUCCCCCGCCCUGGUAGUCUUAGUAAGCCGGGAAGCUUAUGACUAAGAGCACCACGAUGAUGAUCCACUUCAUCAUGACCCUUUCCUUAUU
rnacentral:sRNA from 1 species